rnacentral:rRNA from 1 species
UGGGGAAUUUUGGACAAUGGACGAAAGUCUGAUCCAGCGACGCCGCGUGAAGGACGAAGGUUUUCGGAUCGUAAACUUCUUUUGCAGGGGACGAAAGCGGGCAACCGUUUGACAGUACUCUGCGAAUAAGCCACGGCUAACUACGUGCCAGCAGCCGCGGUAAUACGUAGGUGGCGAGCGUUACUCGGAAUUACUAGGCGUAAAGCGUGUGUAGGCGGGAGCUUAAGUCUGCUGUUAAAUCUCAUGGCCCAACCAUGAAAUGCCGGCGGAUACUGGGCUUCUUGAAUUCGGUAGGGGAAACUGGAAUUCCAGGUGUAGCGGUGAAAUGCGUAGAUAUCUGGAAGAACGCCAAAGGCGAAAGCAGGUUUCUGGGCCGCAAUUGACGCUGAGACACGAAAGCUAGGGGAGCAAACA